UUGAACUCACAGUCUUAUGAAUACUGGUCGGGUUCAUUAACACCAAGCUACAAUGGGAACUCCCCAGUAUCCUGAUUUGUAAUGUGUGGUAUCUUAGAACUAGCCAGGACACAACAGCGAAAAGCUAAUCUCUUUAAGCAACAAAGAGACUGGAAUAACUCGGGGUUUUUGUUUGUUUGUUUCAGUUUAUCAUCAAUUCUUUUUUUUUUUUUCACUUUUUAAAGUUUCAUUGAAGUAUAGUUGACUUACAAUGUUGUGAUAACUCCUGCUAUACAACAAAAUGAUUCAAUUAUAUAUAUACACACAUCCAUUCUUUUUAAGAUUUCCAUAUUGAUUAUCACAGUAUAGGAGUUCCCAUUGUGGCACAGCAUAAACAAAUCCAACUAGCAACCAUGAGGUUGUGGGUUCAAUCCCUGGCCUCAGGAGGUUAAGGAUCCGGUGUUUCCAGGAGCUGUGUGUGGUGCAGGUUGCAGAUGCAGCUUGGAUCCUGCGUUGCUGUUCGAUUCCACCCCUACCUAACCUGGGAACCUCCAUAUGCUGCUGGUACAGCCCUAGAAGCAAACAAACAAAAAGAAAUUAUCACAGUAUAUAGGGUAGAGUUCCCUAUGCUGUACAGCAUGUCCUGUGAGGAAGACCUUGAAGGUAGAAAGAGACAGCACAUUUGACUUUGCUAAACUGAACUUCAGGUUGUACAAAUCAAGUGCAUUUGGCCCUGGAAGCAGCAUUUUAAAAAUCCAGAGUCUAGCAAAGGAGAGUGUGAGAAGGAAGAAGAAGAAGAAGAAGCCUCUCCUUUGGCCACUGAGUCCUCCUCAUUUGAAGUGGGGAUUCCUUGGAGGCCACACGUGGUUCAUUUCUCUGAAAAAUUAUGAUUUGCCAAACACAACUCCGGCCCGUUCCGAUGUGAUCAGUUGCUUGGGGCGCGGCCCAGGAACUGCUCUCUGGAGUCAAGAGUCAGAGAAAGCAUCAAAUCAAUACGGAGCUGUAAACGGGUCCCCAGCCCGUACCCCUUUGUUAUUUCUACUGGUUUGUUCUACAGACCCUUAAUUCUAUUAUCCAGCUUUAAUUUGGCUCUGUGUCUCUCCAACAUUUUUUUUUUCUUUCUUCUGCGCCCUUUCUCUUUAAUCGAUUGAUUCAUCUGUAAUUGGAUUUUCUCUGGCUGUUACCAGCUAUUAAAAGUAGCUCUGCGUGUGUAUGUGAGUGAGUGCGCUUUCUAACUAGGCCACGGUUUCGAAUGCCUGGCAAUCCUGUCUCUUGCUCAGGUUCCUUAGAACGAAUUCAAUUCCCUGAUUCCUUCUUAGGCAGUGGGGAGUCAGAGAGAGAACGCAGGCCUUAGAAGCAGAUAGCACCGCACCAUAUCGUGUUUGGUUCUGUUUGUUUAGUGUAAGGCGGACAUUUAUUGAGCUCAUAUUACUGGGCCAGGAGUCUUUCCAAGCACUUUACAAGCAUGAAUAACCCUCACUGCAUCCUUUUAAGGUAGGUACUAUUAUUAUUCCAUUUUACAGAUAAAAGAAUGGCAUCAGAGGAGGUUAAGGGACCCACCCAUGGUCUCACAAUAGCACUUGAUCAUGAUGCAGUUUUCCAAAAUUCUACCCCUUCAUACCUGAGUAAAUUGGGGGGGGGGGGGUUUGUUAUGUUUUUUUCUUUUUAGGGCCGCACCUGAGGCAUAUGGAAGUUCCCAGGCUAGGGGUUGAAUUGGAGUUGCAACGCUGCCCUACACCACAGCCACAGUGAGACCAGAUCUAAGCUGCAUUCACCACCUACACCUCAGCUUGUGGCAGUGCCAGAUCCUUAACCCACUAAGCAAGGCCAGGGAUCAAACCCGCAUCCUCAUGGAUACUAGUCGAAUUCUUAACCCUCUGAGCCACAACGGGAACUCCUGUAUCUGCGUAACUUUGGCAUGGCUCAUUUUUUCUGCCUCAGCCUCCACAUCACUUCUGCAGAAUGAGCAAAAGCAGAUCUCCCUUGCAGGAUGAUGGUUAGAAUGUUUCACACUGGGGGGUAUAUACAUAGCAGAUCCCAGGGUCUGACACCACAAGGGAGACCA
rnacentral:lncRNA from 1 species